CAGCCAAUCAGCCUCCAGCGCACGUUUCCAACGUUCUGUCCUGCCUGGUAACAUUUCUCUCGCCUGUGGAAAUGGGGGGUGGCUGCGACCCCCAGCUCCCCGGUUGCUGCUGUAAGAACAGCGCGAGUCUACCCCAGUUUGCACACCCUUGUUGCUGCUGGUGAGCAGCAGCUGUGGAGACCUACUGGGGGAGGAGCAGGACUCAGCAGUAUGAAAAUCAGCGAGAGAUGGUGCAGCCAUGGGGAACCACAGUGUGUUAUUUCUGCAAAAGCAAUCAUUCAGCCUGGGCUUUUCAUUUGUGCACAAGAGGGCCCGCCACACCAUCAGGAAUCUGCACAACAAAGAAAACUGAACUGCAACUUAAACCUCACAUUGUUCAAAGGACACGUUGUCAAAUCUGGCAUAAUUCUUUAAAUUUGCUUAAAGCAGGACACAUUUUCUUUUUUCAUUGCUGUAGUUUUUAUUCAUUGUUUUUGUUUUAAAGGACAGGCAGAAAUUGUGCACAAUGGGAAACCAAACCAGCAGUUCACUCUGUCUUUAAACACCAAGCACUUUUUAUCAGCCCCUGAGUAUGAGUUGGUGUGUCAUACUGUGAAGUAACUUUGCAAGUUAUUUUCAAGAUCAGUCUGGUUACUCCCACUGCUGCCAUGGAAUCCCAUCUUAAUAAUUCAUCACAGCUUUCUGUAUCAUCUACAGUUUAAAACGUAAACAUAAAAAUAAACUUAUCAACUUGAACCUCUCGAAACGCCGAAAGGGGCUGAAUAAUCUUCUCAUUUGUACCAUCUCUGAUGUUUUCUGAUCUCUCAAAAGGAACUACAGAGUCUGGAUGCAAGUCCUUUUAAUUAAGCCACUGCCAGUGACUGAACAGCCUCCAGAGAGAGCUGAAACUGUCCGUCUUCCUUUCUGUUGUAUAAAUCGUUUCCGUUCAGCACUCGCACUUGUUGACACUGCCCUGGCCUGUUAUGUUAUUUACAUUUUUCCUGUUUGUUCUUCUGUACCGCAGAUGUGUUAACCUCUCGUCCAGAUUGUAAAUGAGUUCUCUGCUGGUUAAAUAAAGGACUAUUGCUA